GUUAACGUAGCUUAAAAUUAAAGCAAAGCACUGAAAAUGCUUAGAAGGGCUCUACCCCGUAAACA
rnacentral:tRNA from 1 species